GAAAAUGGAUGGCGCUCAAGCGUGAUACCCAUACCUCGCCGCCAGGGUAGAAACGAUGCCCUGGCGAGUAGGCAGGCGUGGAGGCCCGUGACGAAGCCUUGGGGGUGACCCCGGGUAGAACGGCCUCUAGUGCAGAUCUUGGUGGUAGUAGCAAAUACUCAAAUGAGAACUUUGAGGACUGAAGUGGGGAAAGGUUCCGUGUGAACAGCAGUUGGACACGGGUUAGUCGAUCCUAAGCCAUAGGGAAACUCCGUUUUAAAGUGCGCUCUCGGGCGCCGCCUGGCGAAAGGGAAACCGGUUAAUAUUCCGGUACCUCGAUGUGGAUUAUCCGCGGCAACGCAACUGAAGGUGGAGACGUCGGCGGGGGCCCCGGGAAGAGUUCUCUUUUCUUCUUAACAGUC
rnacentral:rRNA from 11 species